rnacentral:rRNA from 1 species
AGAAUGAACGCUGGCGGCGUGCUUAACACAUGCAAGUCGAACGGAAUCCAAGGAGCUUGCUCUGGAAGAUUUAGUGGCGAACGGGUGAGUAUCACGUGAGCAACCUGCCCCGAAGACUGGGAUAACACCGGGAAACCGGUGCUAAUACCGGAUACCUUCCAAUGACCGCAUGGUCGAUGGAAGAAAUGUUUUUCGCUUCGGGAGGGGCUCGCGGUCCAUCAGCUUGUUGGCGGGGUAACGGCCCACCAAGGCUUCGACGGAUAGCUGGUCUGAGAGGACGAUCAGCCACACUGGAACUGAGACACGGUCCAGACUCCUACGGGAGGCAGCAGUGGGGAAUCUUGCGCAAUGGACGAAAGUCUGACGCAGCAACGCCGCGUGAGGGACGAAGGUUUUCUGAAUUGUAAACCUCUUUCGACAGGGACAUAAUGACGGUACCUGUAGAAGAAGCACCGGCCAACUAUCGCGCCAGCAGCCGCGGU